rnacentral:tRNA from 2 species
AUUGUUACUUUGGCAGAAUAGUGCGUUUGAUUUAGAAUCAUUUAAAGUAAGAUUUUACAGGUAAUAU